rnacentral:rRNA from 1 species
AUUGAACGCUGGCGGCAGGCCUAACACAUGCAAGUCGAGCGGAUGAAGGGAGCUUGCUCCUGGAUUCAGCGGCGGACUGGUGAGUAAUGCCUAGGAAUCUGCCUGGUAGUGGGUGAUAACGUCCGGAAACGGGCGCUAAUACCGCAUACGUCCUGAGGGAGAAAGUGGGGGAGCUUCGGACCUCACGCUAUCAGAUGAGCCUAGGUCGGAUUAGCUAGUUGGCGGGGUAAAGGCCUACCAAGGCGACGAUCCGUAACUGGUCUGAGAGGAUGAUCAGUCACACUGGAACUGAGACACGGUCCAGACUCCUACGGGAGGCAGCAGUGGGGAAUAUUGGACAAUGGGCGAAAGCCUGAUCCAGCCAUGCCGCGUGUGUGAAGAAGGUCUUCGGAUUGUAAAGCCCUUUAGGUUGGGAGGAAGGGCAGUAAGUUAAUACCUUGCUGUUUUGACGUUACCAACAGAAUAAGCACCGGCUAACUUCGUG